rfam:Haemophilus pittmaniae HK 85 ctg1129913985443, whole genome shotgun sequence.
UGUCAUCGCUGAGUUAGAGAUCGGCGAAUGAUGUAUUAAUAACACUACCUUUUAGGAGUAAAAAAUGUCUCUAAGUACUGAAAAAAAGCAGCAAUCGUUGCUGAAUUUGGUCGCGAUGCG